GGGAAAGAAAAANNUUUNGAGNUGGAGGGGAAUGGGGGAGGGAAAGGAGAAAUAAGAGGGGUAGAAAAAGUGGGAGAUAUUAGAAUUGGGUUUGGUAUAGUAAAAGAAAUAUAAUUAUUUUUAUUGUUUNUUUAUUUAUUUGAUAAAAUGGAAGGUGUAUAAUUUNUUAGUAAUUAUAUGGAUAUAUUUAUUAUAUUUAAUGGUAUUGGGUUUUGAUGNAAGUUUUUUGAUAAAAGUAUCAUGAGGGGGGGAAAAAAUCCCAAACAAAUUCUUUAAAAAAACGAUGCAUUUAUGUAUUUUUGAUUUGAAAAUUUGGUAUAACUCCAAUUACUCAGGUAUGAUCCAAUUCAAGGACAUUGCCAGGUAGGGAGUUUGACUGGGGCGGUACAUCUCUCAAAUAAUGACGGAGGUGUCCCAAGGCCAGCUCAGUGCGGACAGAAACCACACAUAGAGCAAAAGGGCAAAUGCUGACUUGAUCUCGGUGU
rnacentral:ncRNA from 1 species